rfam:Streptomyces sp. IB2014 011-1 STIB_2, whole genome shotgun sequence.
CGACGCGGUGGCGAGCGACAUCAACUACUUGAAGAACUAGAGAAAUAACCCCACCCAACCCAACCCUUCGUUCACCUGACGGAUCCCGGGGGCUCGUCACCCACACGGGUGAGGUUUGCCAACUGAGCUGGAUUUCGCACCGGUUGGCAGGCAUAUGCUCACGCCACCAGACCAGCACAUACGUCGGCCCCCGGCCGGGACUGCAAUCCCGAUCGAGGGCCUGACCACCAAGGAAGAGACAGCUUCCCG